ACAGGUUCUCACAGACACAUACAGGUGUACAAACAGGUUCUCACAGACACAUACAGGUGUACAAACAGGUUCUCACAGACACACACAGGUGUACAAACAGGUUCUCACAGACACACACAGGUGUACACACAGGUACUCACAGACACAUACAGGUGUACACACAGGUUCUCACAGACACACACAGGUGUACACACAGGUUCUCACAGACACACACAGGUGUACACACAGGUUCUCACAGACACAUACAGGUGUACACACAGGUUCUCACAGACACACACAGGUGUACAAACAGGUUCUCACAGACACACACAGGUGUACACACAGGUACUCACAGACACAUACAGGUGUACACACAGGUUCUCACAGACACACACAGGUGUACACACAGGUUCUCACAGACACACGCAGGUGUACACACAGGUUCUCACAGACACACACAGGUGUACACACAGGUUCUCACAGACACACACAGGUGUACACACAGGUUCUCACAGACACAUACAGGUGUACACACAGGUUCUCACAGACACACACAGGUGUACACACAGGUUCUCACAGACACACGCAGGUGUACACACAGGUUCUCACAGACACAUGCAGGUGUACAAACAGGUUCUCACAGACACAAACAGG